rnacentral:tmRNA from 1 species
ACACUUUUCAUUGAGAAGAAAAGCCCUAUAUCGGGUGAGCCGGCUCGUCCGGCUAUGGCGAUAAACUGUACCGUGCAAUAGGCACAGCGGACCCGGGGGCGGUACCCGGCGGCUCCACCAGAAACGGCCUUCCCCUCGUGGAAAGGCCGAUCCUGAAGGGGCCGAACUAGGAUCGACGUGUGUUGAAAAGCGGCGCUUUUGCUCGGGCUGAGUAACCCGUUCAAGGCUCAAACUCAUAAGUGCCAACGAUAACGAAGCACUUGCUCUUGCAGCGUAAUUGAGGGCCUCACGGCCUGACAUUACCCUAACAGAACGCGGUUGGACCAACCGGGCAACAGAAUGGAUUCCAGC